UUGGACGGGUCUCUUUGACCAAUUUUGUAGUAGUGAAAUAUGGCCAUUUUAAAAUAUGGGCCAAGCCCAAAUCAUCAAUUCACAAAUAACCCUAAUUGUACACCAUAAUCUUUCUCUCAUUCACGCUGCUCAUUCUCAUUCUAUCUCAUCUCUCUUUCCAGCCUUUCCUUUUUCCUCCCUCUUCUCUACUUGCCAUUUUUUAUUUUGUCAUCAAAAAGCCCUUUUGGACCCUAAUCUUCUCGUUAAUCUACAUUGUAAAAGUCCGAGAAGAGUAGUCCGAGAAGAGGAUGGAGCAGCAGCAACCGUAAGCCGUGAUUGGACUGAGUGUUGAUGCAACGCCCAACUUCUGCUAUUGUAGUUUACUCUUCCUCCCUUUAGUUUAGGCAAUUGGUUGAUUUUGGUUUGAUUAAAUAUGUUUAUUAGUAUCAAUUCUUCAUCAAUUAGUUGUGUUCUCUUAAUUUCCAUGUCUAGCUAAUUUCGUUUGUUCUAGGUUAGGGAUGUAGUCUUUUAUAUUUCUAUUUCUAUCUAUGAAUUGAAUUGUAUUGUUUGGGUUUGAUUUAUAUGAUGCAAUUUGAUAA